GAUAUAUUAUGUCUUUAACCAUAGACAGCAGGUGUUUUACCCAGCCAUAGUCCGCCUAGGCGGACGACUGAGGGUCGAACUUAAUUUCCUGCCGAGGUGCAAAUAAUGGCAAUUAAGCCAAUUAGGUCGAUUUGUACUAGAUAGUCUGUGAGAAACACAGAUUUUUUGUUACUGGC
rfam:Parcubacteria (Magasanikbacteria) bacterium GW2011_GWA2_40_10 TT67_C0001, whole genome shotgun sequence.